rnacentral:lncRNA from 1 species
GCCAAUGCCGGGUCUCUCCAGCCGCGUCGUGGAAUCGGAGAGUCCCCUCCUCCGCCGGAUUGGUGGUGAGAGCUUGCGAGACCGCCGCCGCGCCACCAGCCACCGAGAAGAAGCCAGAGCCGGUUGGGCCUAAGCGUGGAUCAAUUGUAAGUGGAUCCUUCUUCCAAUUCUCGCUCGAUUUGAUCUUGGGUCUUGUUCUUCUUCCAUCUUCUCAUCGCGCACAUUGCUAAAUCCUUGGAUGGAUGCAGGUGAAGAUCUUGCGGCCAGAGUCGUAUUGGUUCCAGACCACGGGCAAGGUCGUGACAGUGGAUCAGGUAAGCAUUUCUACUACUUUUCGUUUCUCUUUCGAUCGACUCGAUCGAUUGCCUGGAUUUUCCUGAUGGGUUCCUUGCAAUCGCCAGACC